AGGAAAACUCUGUUAUCUUAGAUUAAAGUUGAGCCGAUUAAUCUAAACAAGCUCAAUUUUCUGUUUUCUAAUGGGAAAUACCUGAAAACCUGACCUCUUCGACGACAGAAGGUCCAAACGAUCGACUCCGCGUAUCUGUAAUGGCCGCGCUGUCUCUGUUUGUUUACAUCGCCGACGUCAUCGUGCGCUCGCCUGUGAUUGGAUAAACGGCCCGCUGCCAAAAUGUACCGCGUUACUUAUUAGGAAGAGAGGAAACAGGCAACGGUGACAGUGGUGGAAGAACUACUUUAAUAUUUUAUGUAAAGUCCACUCUUCUCGGAUAUCCCCUAUUAUUAGUGAUGGGCAGAUGAAGCUUAAUGAAGCAUUGAAGCCUUUCAUCCAGUAAAUGAAGCUUCAUUUGCUCUAGUAGGACAUCUACCGGAUGCAACAAUAUCAGUUGGCAUGAAUUUGAAGCGUGUGGCAUUUUGCAGAAAGACUUUAAAUUAAAAUUGUCAGCAAAAUAAAUAAGUAUGCAAAACAUGUAUGUAUGUUAUACUGUAUAUACAAAUAUAUGUACACACACACACACACACACACACACACACACACACACACACACACACACACACACACACACACACACACACACACACUGGCAUUAUGGAAAAUGAUUGUUUAGAAAUUAUGAAAAUGCAAUCAUGUGUUUUAAAUCUGCCUAAGUAGAUAUGUUUCAUCUCUUUAUUUUCUUUAAUGUACUUUUAAAUUUAAAAGCCUCUUAAUCAGACCCGAUGAUCUCGGGAAUAUAAAAACAAGCCUCUCAGCUCCUCUGCUGGUCAAUAUGUCACGUAGCUCAUUUACAUUUAUUCCUCUCUUGCUGCAGUCCUCCAUCACUACUUCUCUUUUAUGGUUAAACCUUCUACAUCACAUGUUCCCUUAAACCCAACCCAGUGCCAUGUAAAAAGUACUCACUUUUAUUAACCAAAACACAACUACCAAAUCUCUUACUCCACUGCGACAGUGAAAUCCCUACCACUAACACCCUGGAGCUAGAACUUCCUGACUCACCUGUUUGUUUGACUCAUCCCUCACUUCCUUCCAUUUAAACCUGGUCAUGCCCAGAUGGUGAACUGCAGCCUAAAACAAAAAUCUGAAUUCUUUCCAUCUUUGAUUUGAUAUCAGACAUAGCGUUCAUGACUUGUGCCAUAAAAAUCACUAAAUUCCUCUUCUGAACCUAAUCCUUCUUUUGCUCCUCCUGCUUCCGUUUCUCAUUUUGAAGUUCCUCCUGUUCUGUGCUCUCCACAUUACUCCUCUCCACUCCCCUCACCAUCCCUGCAUACGUCAUACUCUUCUCCUUCCUCAUCCCCCUCACCACAUUCCCUAUAAUCAUGUUCACCUCCACACCUUGCACAGCUCUUCCUAUACUUAAUAGCCAUAGCCAUGUGUCCAAACCCUUGACAGUUAUAGCACAUCACCGGAUUUGGAACAAACUCUCUCAUCAAAUGCUUAACAAAUCCAAUAAACACAUCUAGUGGCAGCUCCACACCAUCAAACUCCACUACAACCAGCUCUGUCUCCACUCUCCACUUCUCUUGUCAGCCUCCUAGCACCAAUUACAUUCUUCUGCUUAAGUUGUAAAUGAUCUAAAGUACUUCCAUACUGACACCUACUGGGAUUCCGUUUAUUACCCCCUUAGACCCACUCUCUUGCUUCUCCCCCACUUUAACCCCCUUUGUAACAUUCACCUUCCCCACUGUCCUCGCGUCUCUCACUUCCCUCACUUGUACCUUUGCUUAAAACCCUCACAUACUUUAACUCUCCAACUUUACUUCUCAAAGACUUUGUUAAAUAUACUGGAUCCAGAUGCUUUACUCCUCAAACCACAUUACAACAUUAAUAGCUCCCUCGCUUUGUCCUCUCCUCCCACAGAUUGGUUUCCUCCUGAUAAAUCCCUUGCCUUUUUCCUUUUCUUCCCCUUUGCACUCUACGGGGAGACACGUUGAUGGGCGGUGUGAAUUUUGUGGUGUAGUGGAGUACGUUAUAAUGAAGUGUGACAAAUACAGGAAAGAAAGGGAAGGAAAUGUGAAGAGUAUGAGGGAAGUAAGAGUGAAAGAAGUCUGAGGAGUGUACUGGAAGCUGGAGGAUCAGGGACACUGUCACUGAGCUGGGGAAAAGAAUAUGAGGGUUGUAAAAGUCAACGGGUUAAACACAAAAGAAGAAGAAGAAGAAGAUGACGGGUCUUGGUGGAGAAAGGAGGAGCAUCUGAGCGGCAGAAGAAUUUGAAGAGGAAGGAAACGGGCGGAGGUGGUAAAGAGUCAGGAGUAGUAGUAGUAGGACAGAGGUGUUUUUGAAGUUAAGUAAAGAAAAGAGUGGAAGUUGGGAAAGUAGUCAGAGCAGUGGUUUGUAGGGGUAUCAGCCAACAACCUGUACAGGUCCCGUAGUGAUAGUCUUAAUUCUGCUAAAUACCAGCUACAAUGGUGUCUGUUGAGUCGGGAGGUGGGAGUGUUGAUAGUAUGGAGACUAAUAAAGAAGGGAGACAGUUUAAACUUAAAACGGAAAAAGGAUGACGGUUGUAGUAGUGAGGAGAGUGAUGGAAAUGGAACAAAGGGGACAUGUUUGAAUGUACAGUAGUGUGAUGUUCGAGGGAGAUGUGGGUUGGCGGAAACUUGACCCGAUGACUCUGACUAAAAUCGUUAGGGAACAGGUGGGUGAAGUUAAGUUUACACAAGAUUUGGGUGAUGGGAACUUGUUAACUUGUUGAUUGGGUGUACGUCAGAGGGGCAGGUUGAUAAGGCAAGAAAGUUGGACGUUGCUGGGAAAGUCAAGGUUGGCAGAGUGGUGGAAGUGGGAGAAAGGAGACAAGGAGAAAGGAUGUUGGAAAAAAAGGCAUGAUUAGUGGAGUUCCUCUGAGUGUCAGCAUGGAAGAUUUGAUAAAUAAUUUGAGAGUGAAAAAGCGUUAUGGGUGGACAGAGGACCACUAGAGGAGUUGUAAAGAAGGAGACAGAAUCAGUUAUUAUUGAGUUUGAGGGAGAAGAAAUGCCAAUUGUUUUUUGGGUUCAUGAGCUACAGUGUGAGUUUUUGCAGGGCCCUCUCAGGUGCUUUAAGUGUCAAAGGUAGGUGUGCAAGGUGUGAAAAUGAGCAUGAAUAUGGUAAAUGUGCAGUCGGUACCAAACCAAGGUGCUGCAACUGUAGGGGAAACUAUGGUGCGGCUUAUUGGGGAUGUGAAGGAGGUGGAGAUUCAGCACGUUAGAAGUAAGGGGCAACUAUUAUAUGCAGAAGCAGUUAAGAAGGUGGAAGGAGGAAAACAAGUAAGUAGGGAGGAGAGGAGACAGGGGAGAGGGUGUACAGUAAACCAAGCCACCACAAAUUAGUUUAAAAACUCUUCAAAAAUCCAGACGCUGCGGCGGCCUAGAACUACCUAACUGCCACCACUAUUUUCUUGCCAACAGACUGAACCAUGUCCACAAAUGGAUAAAACCCAACAGACUCCUCAUGGAUAGACAUUGAACAAACAUUUUGCGGAAAUAUUAAAGUUGCAGAUCUACCAUUUAUCAGCACCAAAAUCAAGCACCAUAGUUGAUACCAGAGCAUUAGCAUAAGAGCAUCUCUGACAGCCUGGUGGGAUUUUCUUAAAAUUAAUGGGUCUUCGCUUACUCUUUGCCAAAACACACCUCUCUGGAACAAUCCAGACAUCAUCAAAACAAAAAGGCAAUAUAGUUUCCAAAUUGGCAUAUCAAAGGGAUAACACAUCUGAAACAUGUUUUCACAUGAGACAAGUUUACCUCUUUAGAAGAAUUGUCCACUGGCCGGAGGGUGACCACCCUACAAAAGAGAUUUUGGAGUGCUGGGAAAGCCGGGGCAUAACUAAGGGGAGUUUUGGUCAGGGGGGAGAAGAGUAAGCUAAAGAAAUGGGUGUACUGGACAUGGAGUUUAGCCGAACAGUAUUUUGGCCAAAGACCCCAAUAUGGAGGAUGGAGAGUCCUGUUGUGGAUCUGGCGAUGUUGAGGUCUAAAAAAGGAAAGGAGUGUGGGGAUUGUGGGGAGUUAUAUUUGUAUGUGAAAAAGCAAUAUCCUGGAUUCAUUCAUGUAUAUACAGACGGAUCUAAGGAUCCCAGAACUGAUGGAACCUGUGCUGCAGUUACAGUGCCGAGUCAUAGCACAGACAUGGUUAAAAGAACAUCAAAUGACCUAAGCGUGUAUUCAGUGGUGAUGUACUGUAUGCAGUGUUAUUAGUGUUGGAGUGGGUAAAACAGUAUAGGCCGGGUAAAAUUUUAAUAUGUAGCGAUUCUGCCUCUGUUCUGCACAGCAUUAGAGCUGGAACAUCUAAAUAUAGACAGGAAUUAUUGGUGAAUAUAUAUGUUGUUAUAUUCAGAAGUAGUAGUAGAACAGAAUGUGGUGCUUCGGUUUGUGUGGACACCUGCUCAUGAAGGAUUUUUUGGGAAUGAAAGAGCUGAUAAAUUAGCAACGGAGCAAAAAAUCUUAAGCAUGAUCAAACUGACAUUACUGUUGCAUUGUCAAAGUCUGAGGGAAAGAGUGUGGUGUGAAGAAAGGUAAAUGAAAAAGGGCAGCAGUACUGGGAUCUGGAGACAAAGGGCAGACAUUUCUAUAGGUUGCAGAAGAAAGUGGGAGAGGACAGAGGGUGGAGCAGGAAAAGAAGAGAAGAAGUGGCUUUUACCAGGCUACGAAUGGGACACAAUAACUUAAACAGUACGCUACAUAUACUGGGGAAACAUGAUGAUGAGCUGUGCAGGCAGCGUCAGGAGGUGGUAACUGUAGAAAAUGUGAUGAUGAGAUGUAGAAGGUACAGCUGUGAAAAAGAAGUAAUGACUGACUAAGAGAAGUAAUUUCAGUAAGAGAGGAAUAGAGGUAAAGGAGCUGAGUGACGUGCUGAGCAGCAGAGGCGCUGAUAGGCGGCCUGUUUUUAUGUCCCUGAAAGCAUCGGGUCUGAUUAAAAAGAUUUAGGAUUUCCUGUAGAUGGCAGCAAUGCAAAAACUUUGGAUGCUGGCUGCCGUGAAACCCCAAAGAAGAAGAAAAAGUAGUAGAAGAAGAAGAAGAAGAAGACUAAAUAUCGCAAUACUUAAUCCGUUUGCGUUCGUUGUGUUAGCAGACUUCAGUUCAACGGUACUCGUUAGGGAAGAAAGAUGUUAAACUUGGCUUCGCCAGAGCUGAUUAUCUUACCAAGCAACACGAUGUUCAACAUCAGGGGCCUGUUCUCCUCAAUGGACGCUGGACGUUGGAGUCCUGCUCGUGAUUAUCUGCUUAUGUUGGUUUUUGGAUUUGAAACAUUUACUCAUUCACAUGGAAUAUAAGUUUAUUUCAACCCAUUUUUAUACAUUUUUUAUUGAGUUGUCUAUAUAUUGUUUUUCAGUAUUGGAAACCACAAGUCCAGAGGUUGUGUCUGCAUUUAUAAGCAGUGGAUUUCUUUGUUUGUACACUGUUGCAUGUCAGUCAGCGGUCAGUUGCUUUUCCGUGGUCAAAUGAGCCGUCGCUAUAUUCGAGGCGCACGAUUCGUGCGAUAGUUACGGUAACAGUGCUGCGAUAACUGAAAAGGGCGGAGAGACCUACUCUAGUGAACAAUGGGAUUAUAUUAGGAUGAAUGUCUCAAGGAAACAAAAGUCAAUUUAAAAAAUGAUGGAAUUUGUGUAUGUUUGAAAAUAUUCACUGAUGGAAUGUAUAGGCAAAUGGCCUCUAUUCUAAAACUUGGCUUUGAAUAAAAUUACUUCUUUAAAUUAGUACAUCACCGUUCCCUCACGGAUCUACUUAGUACUUCAGGGACUACAACUACAGCAAAUAUGAACUACUUUUACUGUAUGGUUUUGGAGUAAUCCAUUAAUAAACUUUGCUUCUAAUUUGAGAUUUAUUAAAGAUCAAAUUUCAGUAUUUAUGUCAAUUCAACUUACUGUACGAUAUUGUAUUGAUGAAUUACUCCAAUACUAUGCAGUAAAAUAAGUUGAUACUUGCUGUGGUAGUAGUCCAUGAUGUACUAAGUAGAA